rnacentral:lncRNA from 1 species
GGAACGAGGCGGGAACGGCCCGCAGCUGCGGCACCGGCGGCGGUUGAGCCGGCGUGGCGUGGGAAGGCGCCGUCGUUGACAUUUGCCAUUAAGGUACGGACAGAGGUCGGAUCCCGCCGGUCGUGCGGCACCCGGAGCCGCGGGGCGCCGGCACCGGCGGCUCCGAGCGGAGACCGACCGCCUCGGCCGGAAUCGGGUUCGCCGCGGGUUAAAAAUACCGCCGGAGCGCCCGGCUCCGCUCGGAGGCGUCGGGUGCCGGCGCGGGGCCUCCUGCGGGCGGGCCGGGCUCGGGCCGCGCCGGCGCCCCGCGGGACGCGGCUGUCGGCCGGCGGCUUAAGGGAGCGGGGCCCCGGCCCGGCCGGGGGAGGAAGAGCGGGGCAGCGCCGCCAGCGCCCGGCGGCGGCGGAGGGGCGUCCCGCAGCACGGGCGAGCGGCCGAUCCGCGCCCCCCGUCCUCGUCCUCCCGCCGCGGGGCCGGGGCCCUCCCCGCCGCGCCGAGCGCCGCCGCUGGCUGCCGCCGGAGUGGCCCGGCCGAGCGGCCGCCGCCGGGGCCGGCUCCGAUCCGCCAUUAUCCUUUGUUCGCGGCGCGGCGGCGGCGGGGACGGUGCGGGGCUCGGCUCCAUCUUUAAGGCGGGCGCCCCUCCCGCGGGCGGUGCGAGGCCGGGCUCCCCGCGUCCCGCCGCCCGCCGGCCGCCCCGGUCCCCGCCGGGCUCCGUUUCCUUCCCUCCCCCCCGCCCCUGUUCGCUGGGCGCCGUCCUCCUCUUACCGGUUGCGGGCUGCUCCGUCACUGCUUUCGUUCGCGCCUGGGAUCUCGCCGCAGUUUUAUUCUCUCCCCCACGUAACACACCGCGUCAAACUACACCUCCGCCGCGUCACUCACACACACACAGGCGCUCCCAGCCCGGCGACAGGCAGGCAGCGGCCGACUGAGGAGCGCCAGCCAGGGAGCAAGCGCCGAGCGCAACGCGGCCCGCACGGAAACCGCCGAGCGCUCACGGAAACCGCCGAACGCGCGGCGGGCGGCGGGAACGGCCGAGCGCGCCGCCGGCCUCCUCGGAAAGAGCCGAGCGGGCGCGGAAACGAACGAAGCGGCCCGGAGGGGUGGCGGAAAGAGCCGAGCGGCCGCGGGAAGGCGCGAACCGCGCUUCCGCCCCAGGCGGCCCGCGGGGCGGGUGGCGUUGGCCGCCAAUAG